rnacentral:rRNA from 1 species
UAGGGGGCAAGCGUUAUCCGGAUUUACUGGGUGUAAAGGGCGCGUAGGCGGCAUGGCAAGUCUGAUGUGAAAACCCAGGGCUCAACCCUGGGAGUGCAUUGGAAACUGUCAGGCUGGAGUGUCGGAGAGGUAAGCGGAAUUCCUAGUGUAGCGGUGAAAUGCGUAGAUAUUAGGAGGAACACCAGUGGCGAAGGCGGCUUACUGGACGAUGACUGACGCUGAGGCUCGAAAGCGUGGGGAGCAA